UUUUUUUUUUUUCUAUUUUUGGUCUGUGGACUCUGGAGACUGGGCAUUUGAUCAAAUUUUGAAAAUGCCCCAAUAUCCAUGCUGCUUUGAUUUAACAAGCAUGUAGUAACUUCCAUAAUACAUGUUUUAUAUUACUGAUAUGUUAAGUUGAAUGCUUUGCAUCUCCCCUAGGCCACAAAGAGAUUUUAACGGGACUCUCGUAUGAGACUUCUCCAGUAGUGUGCUUCUUUGUCUACUAAAUUUAAUCCUUCAUUUGUCCAGGUCUUGUUCUUCAGAAUCAGACAAGACAGCAAUGGAUUGGAAAUAAGAGGUCUCAAAACCGUACACAAGUUCCCAAACCCAAACUAAGAAGGAAAUUACAGCACAGAAACAUGAAAUUCAAUCACAAAAAGAGAAAAUUCAAGCACAGAAUAAUGUGAUAGUGAAGAUGAAUGAGUCGAGUGAGGAGCAUUUGGAGAUGACGUCAAGCAUCAUGGAGUUUCUUAAGAAACAAGGUUUCAACGGACAAUUUAGGGGAGGGGGCAUCCUAUGAACUCGUAGAUCGCCUUUUUGAUUGAUUUUUGAUGACAUUUGGAAGCAUACUUGCAAAUCAAGAUCAAGUGUUAAUUUUUUUUUUUGGGCUGAUACUUAGUUCUACUUGCAGCUCAAGAUCAAGUGUUGAUUUUUUUUGUGGACUGAUACUUAGUUCAUUUUGGGAUUUGCUGUGAUUUGGUCUUUGUUAUAGUUAAUGAAUUGUUAUUAAAUUUGUUUGAUGGAUGUAUUUUGAUUUAUAAUAUAAAUUGUUUAGUGAAUUUUUUUGUGGAGCGGUGUAUAAUAGUUAGUGGAUUUCUUAGUACAUUUAGAAGGUUAUUGGGAUAUGAGCAGGGAUAUUUGUGAAAUAAUAAUUUAAAUUGAAAUAUAAAAUAUGGAACAAGUUUAGGGACG